CCUACGGGUGGCAGCAGUGAGGAAUAUUGGUCAAUGGGCGUAAGCCUGAACCAGCCAAGUCGCGUGAGGGAUGAAGGUUCUAUGGAUCGUAAACCUCUUUUAUAAGGGAAUAAAGUGCGGGACGUGUCCCUUUUUGUAUGUACCUUAUGAAUAAGGAUCGGCUAACUCCGUGCCAGCAGCCGCGGUAAUACGGAGGAUCCGAGCGUUAUCCGGAUUUAUUGGGUUUAAAGGGUGCGUAGGCGGCUGUUUAAGUCAGCGGUGAAAGUCUGUGGCUCAACCAUAGAAUUGCCGUUGAAACUGGGAGGCUUGAGUAUGUUUGAGGCAGGCGGAAUGCGUGGUGUAGCGGUGAAAUGCUUAGAUAUCACGAAGAACCCCGAUUGCGAAGGCAGCCUGCUAAGCCAUGACUGACGCUGAUGCUCGAAAGCGUGGGGAUCAAACAGGAUUAGAUACCCCUGUAGUC
rnacentral:rRNA from 1 species